AAUGUAUGGCGCCGUUGACUUUUUAUCCAACGUUUGACCAUUCGUCUUAUUCAAAAAAUUUAUGUAGCUACCAUUUAUUUUAUUGUGACUUGAUUCGUCAUCAAAUGUUCUUUAAGCAUGACAUAAUUAUUUUCAUAUUUGCACAAAAAUUAUGAAUAAAACGAAUGGUCAAACAUUAGUAAAAAAGUCAACGGUUUCAUCUAUU
rfam:Oryza nivara chromosome 6, whole genome shotgun sequence.